CAUGGUACAAUCGGGAAAGGAGCAAUUCGCUAAAAGAUGGCCUUGCGUCUGAUUAGAUAGUUGGUGGGGUAACGGCCUACCAAGUCGACGAUCAGUAGCCGGACUGAGAGGUUGAACGGCCACAUUGGGACUGAGAUACGGCCCAGACUCCUACGGGAGGCAGCAGUCGGGAAUAUUGCGCAAUGGAGGAAACUCUGACGCAGUGACGCCGCGUAUAGGAAGAAGGUUUUCGGAUUGUAAACUAUUGUCGCUAGGGAAGAGAAAGGACAGUACCUAAGGAGGAAGCUCCGGCUAACUACGUGCCAGCAGCCGCGGUAAUACGUAGGGAGCGAGCGUUAUCCGGAAUUAUUGGGCGUAAAGGGUGCGUAGACGGGAAGAUAAGUUAGUUGUGAAAUCCCUCGGCUUAACUGAGGAACUGCAACUAAAACUGUUUUUCUUGAGUGCAGGAGAGGUAAGUGGAAUUCCUAGUGUAGCGGUGAAAUGCGUAGAUAUUAGGAGGAACACCAGUGGCGAAGGCGACUUACUGGACUGUAACUGACGUUGAGGCACGAAAGUGUGGGGAGCAAACAGGAUUAGAUACCCUGGUAGUCCACACCGUAAACGAUGGAUAGUAGGUGUAGGAGAUAUUAAGUCUUCUGUGCCGUCG
rnacentral:rRNA from 1 species